GGCUCGGUAGCUAAGUCGGUAAAGCACUUGUUUAGUAUAUAAUGGUCGUGAGUUGAAAUCUCUUUUGAGCUU
rnacentral:tRNA from 1 species